CAUAUACUCCCUCUGUUCGGAAUUACUUGUCGCGGGUAUGGAUGUAUCUAGAUGUAUUUUAUUUCUAGAUACAUCCAUUUCUUCGACGAGUAAUUUGGAUCGGAGGGAGUAGCAU
rfam:Triticum urartu cultivar G1812 contig545388, whole genome shotgun sequence.